GUAACUAAAAAGACUAAUAACAAACCCUCAAAACAUAACUAGAAAAUUUACAAAUCUUAAUUAAUUAACACGCAUGUUCUAAUCUGCAUAUAGUACCAUUCAAAUAGAUAAACAAAAUCAACUAUCAAUCCCCAAAUGCAGGAACAAAAUUCGCGUAUUCGCAAAUUGCGAAUAACAUUGCGCUUGCCAGACAUUGCAAAUAACUUGUACAAAAUAAUACGCCAGAAACAUCGCCAAUCGCAAUUACUUUCAUCUAAAAUUGUAUCCAAACUAAAACAGCUGCAAACGAAACCCAGACACAUAAACAACCUCAAAAAAAAAACGCCCUCUUUAAAAAUAGCUACAACAAGCUAACCACAUGUAGCGAUGACGACAUGAAAAGCAUGACGCAAGUUGAAAAAACCCGAAAAUAUACGACACACUAACCAAUAAAAAACGUCAGUCGCGGAACCAUAAUUAAAAGCUAAACCCUAUAACACAACGAAAUAAAACCUAAAAUCCAGUACCGAGUAAUACACUAAUCAUGAAGAAAUAUAGUCCACUAAAGUCACGGGAGACAAGAAUAAUGAGUAAAAAUCCCUAUAUAAGCAGUAGCGCCGAAAACGGUUUAAGUAGAAGUUUCCAGUUGUGGCCGAAGGCUCUGCCGAAUCGUUCGUCGAAAUUUUUAUUAAUUUUGCUGAAUUUUGAAGAAAUCCGAACUUAGAAGAAUUUGCUGAGCCCGAGAGGAAGAUAGAAAAAUUCUCAAUGCUGCAGCUGUGUAAGUCUACCUUUUAGCAUGGCCGACUUCAUUAAUAUACACUAACGUGUAUAUACGGCCGUUUCAAUUUUUGAUUUUCCAUUAGAAAAAAUGUUCCGCCUCCUAGUGCAUAUUGUGGCGCCCUCAAACGACAGAUCUCGUGCUAUUUCUGUCAAAUUAAUUGUGGAAUUGAAACUGACAUUGACAACAAAUUUUACUCGAAGCAUAAAAAAAAGCAGUUUGGUUCAGAUAAUAAGGUUUUUUUUUAUUUUAUCACAAAACACAGUUUAAAAUUUAAUGCAAAUCUCUUGACAGAAUCUGUGGUCUCCAAGCAAAGAUUGCUGAGAACUGGCUUUACAGUCGUUUUGAUUAUAUAUUUGCACACAGAAUCCCUGUGAUUUGCACAGACAAAAAUGGGAUUUUGCACAAGGUGUGGAUACAGUUCUUCAAGUAUGUAUUUACCAGGAUUAUCAUGUUGUAGAAAUGGCAACAUUUGCUGGAUGCUUUCAGCUAUCUGCUGAAUAAUACCAACAAAGAUAUCUUUGGGAUAGACUAAACCUCCUCGGUUUUGAAUGGCAAUCAGUUGUAGUAAAGGACCUGGAAUGCUAGUACAUAAUAGAGGUGUUAAACAUUCAUCACAAUGAAAUAAAUUUUCUAAUUUUUUUAUUAUGUAUCCUGCCAAGAAAGCUACUGAUGCUGAGAAAAUAUUAUUAUCAGCAGUGUUUGAGGAAUGGGAAGCUUUAACAAUCCCACAACGAAGAAUUUGCCUUAAUGCAUAAUCUGCAGCUCUGGCAUCUGUGGCAUCAUUAGAACCACCUUUCAGUCUUACAUGUGAAAACAUGGCCUCUACAGCGUCUGAGCUGAAGGAUCGCGUUACAACAUAAUAGAAGCCAACCUGGCUUAGCAAAAAAUUUACACAGAGGUAUGUGCUUUUUGCCGUGAAUUGUAACGCAUGAGCUGUUUCCUUAGUAAGACCUUUAAAUCCAACAUCUACAGAAGUCUUCUGGAUAUGGUCAAUAUACUUUGGAAAUGUGACAUUUAACCAGUCAAGACGUUCAUCUGAAAUAUGCACAUAUGGUGCAAUACUGCUAUCUAGUGAACGAAGAUAGUGAUCUCUGCUUGAAACAUUAUGCACCUGAAAAAAAUGGUACAUGUUUUCCAUAUAGAAUAUAGAGGCAUCAGCGUCUACAAAGCGAUCGUCCCCUGCAGCUUUUAGAAAUUUUAAAGAAGAUGUUACAGUAGGUGAAAAAACUUGGAUUGCUCUUAGGACAUUCAUUUUUUCAAAGUUUGAUGGAAAUAGAUGCUUCUUUGUUAAAUAUCUGACAGGCUUUACUGGCAUUCCCUUCUGCAAAUCAUACAAUAAUUUGAGAGCAUGGCAGAAAUCGAAACUCAAAAAUAGUGGAAUAUGUUCCAGAAUGGGAUGAUUAAUGGAAUUUUUCAGUGAUCCGUUUCCAAAUUUUUUAAAGAGGGCGACAUUUGUUGAAAUAUUGUCUGUAACAAAUCUAAUCACAAUGUAGCCGCAGUUUGUCAGAAGUUGUAAAAUGUUUUUUGUUAAUAAAUAUAAUUCCUGAGUUGUUAACGACGAGUGGAAAAAAUACCCUGCUGGUAUUG